GGCCAAUUUUGCCUUUGUUGUGGUUUUUAAAACCCUAUUAAAGGUUUUUUUUUUUUUUUUUUAAACGCCAAAGGAGUGGUAUGGCCAAUUUAAUUUGUAAACAUAGUAAAUUGGAAGGAUCUUUGAUCCACCGGGUGCCAUGCUAGUUACAUAUGAAAACAUUAUUUAAUACAAUGACAAAGCCUAGAAUCAAUUGUAAACGACUUUUGUAACGGCCAAGGUGUGGUAAGUGGUUGAGCAGCUGCCAUACUGCGAUCCACUGAAGCUUAUCCUUUGCUUGAUGAUUCGA
rnacentral:ncRNA from 1 species